AUUCUCACUCUUUCAAACUCGUCUCUCCUCCUCUCCAACGAAACAAACAGCUCGCCGGAAAUCGCUCCGCCGCGUCGGAGGCGGCGGAGCUCGGCCAAAUUCAAAAUUCAAACACGCACCCUCAACUACUUCACCUCCUCUCUUCAUUUUCGACCUCAAUUCCUCGUAACAAGGCUCAAAUGCCUCAGAUCGAAAAAAAGGGGAAAAACAAACCCUAACUAAGAGAGACUCUAAAUUCCAAUCAUCAAAGCCUUAGUUCGUUCAAAUCAGGAGAAGAUCGAAGAGGAACGGUAAUGACCGUGACGGAUAUGCAAGAAUGACGAGUAACUUGAAAGAAGAAACCUUACCUGGAAUGACGAACACACGCGAAUUGAAGAGAAAUCCGGAGAGGAGAGUCCUAAGCGCGACACUGCGAAAUAGACGCAAGAGGAUGAAAUGAUCUUCCCGGGCUGCAUGUUUGGAUUAGUUAGGAACUCCAUUUGGUUGCUUGAAGGUGUAUGGCCCUGGUUCGAAAAGUUGCAGCAGGGAUAGGAGUCCUUGCAUUCAGUGAUGUGGUGAUCUUCUUUCAUGAGGUUAUGUUGGUGUUGAAUGUGCAGGUUCAUAAAGAAAGAGAAUGAAGCUGAAUUCUGGUGCUGAGCUGGGAGAUGAAGAAGCAAAUGCUUAUUGGACUUGAAUUGAAGAUUGGAGAUUAGGAUAAAGGCACUAGGACUCAAUGUUUGGAUAUUUUGUAAUGGAUAUGUUUGUAUUUGGACUGUAUUAGAUAUUUUUGUAUGGAAAUUGAAUGGUGUAAUGGUUUUGAAAUCAGGUUUUGAAAAUAUAAUGAAGUUUGAUGAUGGUAUCAAUGUA